rnacentral:lncRNA from 1 species
CUGUCACUCAGUCUGUCCCCCAUCUGCCUGCAAACUUGAGCAAACAGCAUAUAAAAGCUCCUCGCUCCUCUACGCCACCUAGCAGCAGCAGCGGUGAGCCCGGUGCUGGCAGUGUUGGUGGCACUUGCAUGGUGGCAGUGGCACCAGCACUGGCGGUGGCGGUGGCACCAGCACUAACAGCACCUGUACCAGCAGGAGACGUGGCCCCAGCAUCUUUGAAGUGGACACAGCAACAUAGCAGCAGCAACAAGUGGAGGGUGGGGAGUGGCCAGAAGUGGCCAAACAUGGCCUUUACCAGCAGAGGAGGCCCUGUGAAUGGCUCUGUGGGUGCCAGUGGUCUGGACAGUGGGAGGCAUAGAGAGUCUUACCCAAGGAGAUAUUUGAGGUUCCUCUCAAGGAAGACUUCUCCAGUAACUGGGGAGUAGGAGCCAAAGAAAAGCUCUUGGUACUAUCAGAAUUACCCAUUGUAGCCUCGGGAUACUGUGACCCAGAAGAUACGAGUGGCAUGAGAUUCAGAGCUUUAAUAAGGGACUAAGAGAAGCCCUGAUGGGGCAAUUGAGUACACAUUCAUUCAUCAGUGAGUGAUGGCUGGGGUCAAAGUCCAGUUCUGCCACUCACUAGUCUAUGAUCUUGAGCAUGUUUCUCCAACCCCCAGUUUCCCUGUAAGUUUUGGUCAUCAGUAUAAUGGGGGUGCUGCAUAGAUGAAAGCCAGGCCGUCCCAUGCUACCCAUCUGAUCAUCUGAUCCCAUCUGAUCAUCUCUUUGGUGCUUUCCUCAGCUCGGUAGGUGACACCUCUGGCUCUGUGUGCUCAAGUGGCUCCAGGGCAGGGAGGUGCAGCUGUAUGGGACAGUGCAUUGCACCUGUGGGCAGCGCUGGCUCUCAGGAGGUUGUUUACGACAUCUAGGCUUCAUUCAUCCACUCAGUUAACAAACGCUUGAGUACCUCCUACAUGCCAGGCAUGGGGAUAAGUUUUGGGGAGAUGAAUGACAUGGGAACACCAGGGUCCCUUGAUGGGGCUGGUUAUUUAAUGAGGUUCUCAGGCUGUCAUCUAAUAAUUCUGUGAAUUUGUCAUCACAAGGGGAAGCACUCUGAAGGUGAGGAGCAUGGGCAACGUGCAGCAAAACUGAGGGCCAAGGGCGCAAAGGGAGGCUUCCCUGGGAGGUGACAGCCAGGCCGAGACAUGACUGGGGCCUCGGGGCUCUUGGGUGUGUGGGGUGGCGAGCAGUGCAGACGGGAAAGCAGAGGCUGCCUCUCGGCCACAGAGAUCCACUUCCCUUCCCACACGAUGGAGCUGCAGCUCCCUGAAGGUGGCCUCUUCCCCGGAGGUUUUCCAUUUCACUUACAGCCUCCUCAGCUUUUCUUCCUGGGACGGGAUGCCAACCUUCUGAGGCCCCAUGUGCUCACACCCCCUCCCUUUUUAAGAAUUCUAACCUCAGUGAGCUUCCUGCACAGACUGCACAGUCCACUCCUUCAAAGGUACCACUCAGGGAGUUGGAGCAGGCCACAGUCGGGCAGCCAUCACCACAGGCAGCUCUAGAACAUUUCAUCCUCCCGCAAGAAACCCCACACCCAUUAACAGUCACUCUUCCUUCAUUUCCCCUCAAAACGCUAGCCCUGGGAAGCCACUACUUGCCACUUCCUACUGCUAUAGAUCUGUUUAUUCAAGACAUUUCAUAUAAAUGGAAUUAAACUAUAGGCUGUAUUUCUUUCAAUUAGCAUAAUGUUUUAAAGUUUUUUCAUAUUAUAGUAUAUAUCAGAACUUCUUUUUAUUACUGAAUGGUAUUGCAUUUGUAUGUUUG